GUAGUCGAGUGGGUAAAGUGCUUUUAGCUAUUUACCAAAAGUCGAUGGUUCGAUUCCAUCGUGGAACA